UACGAAGGGUGCAAGCGUUACUCGGAAUUACUGGGCGUAAAGUGUGCGCAGGCGGCAGAGCAAGUCGAGUGUGAAAGCCCCGGGCUUAACUUGGGAAUUGCGCUCGAAACUACUUUGCUGGAGUGUGGCAGAGGAAGGUGGAAUUCCACGUGUAGCGGUGAAAUGCGUAGAGAUGUGGAGGAACACCAAUGGCGAAGGCAAUCCCCUGGGCCUGCACUGACGCUCAUGCACGAAAGCGUGGGGAGCAAACAGG
rnacentral:rRNA from 1 species